rnacentral:rRNA from 1 species
GGAAGCACCGCAAGGUGUGGAGGUGACUGGUACUAAUAGGCCGAGGGCUUGUCCUCAGUUG